GGGGCUGUAGCUCAGUGGCAGAGCUCUUACCUAGCAUGUGUGAGGCACUGGAUUCAAUCCUCAGCUUCA
rnacentral:tRNA from 1 species